rnacentral:tRNA from 1 species
GUCAGGGUAGCUCAGUUGGUUAGAGCGAAGGAAUCAUAACCCUUAGGUCGUGGGUUCAACUCCCACCCCUGACA